GGAAGGCACAGUGAUGCCAAAACGUUGGUAAAUACCCAUGAAAUUGUUGGGAGAUUGUACAUGGAGUGUGAGACUUUCUUAAUUUUGCUAUUUUAAAGCCUUGGGAGCUAACACAGUUUUUCAGGUCUUAGACAAGGUUCCACCUUUAGAGCCACCAACCCAUUGAUGGUUGACUCGAUGGAAUAAACCAACUCAUUGAUGGGGGUGUCUGCAUCUUCUGUAUUCAACAUGCUGGUGGUGAUGUCCGAUUCCUCUCCAGCUAAAACCUGAGAGAGAAGCCCAGAGAUUAGAGCUUGGUCUUGGUUAAGGAAAGGGAUACAUCUCCAUGAACUUUUGAAAUAGGUAGUCCUGCAUCCCUGCAGCCAGGAGGAGGAGUCCACUUCGUCGGCUGGUCUUGAACUGCAGCGACAGGUGAAAGGAGGAGACAUCUUGGAUCGAAGUUAUCUUGCAGAAACUGUCCCCAAAGUAGGAUGCUGGAG